rnacentral:tRNA from 1 species
CGAGGUGUAGCUCAGUUGGUAGAGUACUCGUCUGGGGGACGAGUGGCCGCUGGUUCAAGUCCAGUCACCUCGACAA